CUUGUGCCAAGAUACUAGCCAUUUUACCCACCACUGCUUUUGCAUUAUCAGUGCAAAUGUCAACAGAGAGAAAAGCGCAAAUAAUGUCUUACUAUUAUUAUGAAAAUAGUUCUGAUCUAGGAGAACCUCUGAGAAACUCUCACACAUAUCUAGGGGUCUGAGAAUCACAUUUUGAGAACGAAUCAUCAUGUUCUGGGAUUGAAGAAGUCAUCAGCUUCUCCAGAACCAUAUGUCCAUAUGAUCCCUGAAGAUUCUGUUAACAAGGAAGUUGAGGGAGAUUGCCUGUUCAGUGGGCAAACAAGAGCGUCUUCCACAACAGGGCCGUUUGGAAGUAACGGUGGAGGAAAAAGAGACAUGAACCAGGGAAAAUUAUUAGCAGGAGAUUGGAGGACAAACUGGUAAAGAAGUACAAUAAGGAUGAACAACGGGCUUCAAGUACUGGCCUAGGAAGUGACUGCCAGAAGGGACAGAGAAGACUUCAUACGUGAGUGGGCUAAAGCACAAGGAGGAGUUUCCCAAGUAAA